rnacentral:rRNA from 1 species
GAGUUUGAUCUUGGCUCAGAUUGAACGCUGGCGGCAUGCCUUACACAUGCAAGUCGAACGGCAGCAUGAUCUAGCUUGCUAGAUUGAUGGCGAGUGGCGAACGGGUGAGUAAUACAUCGGAACGUGCCCUGUAGUGGGGGAUAACUAGUCGAAAGAUUAGCUAAUACCGCAUACGACCUGAGGGUGAAAGUGGGGGACCGCAAGGCCUCAUGCUAUAGGAGCGGCCGAUGUCUGAUUAGCUAGUUGGUGGGGUAAAGGCCCGACCAAGGCGACGAUCAGUAGCUGGUCUGAGAGGACGAUCAGCCACACUGGGACUGAGACACGGCCCAGACUCCUACGGGAGGCAGCAGUGGGGAAUUUGGACAAUGGGCGAAAGCCUGAUCCAGCAAUGCCGCGUGUGUGAAGAAGGCCUCGGUUGUAAG